GUACCCACUCUGUCGGUACAUACACUAAAAUUGAAACAAGCAGAAAGGAUUAGCAAGCUCCCUACACAGGACAACAUGAAAAUCUGAAGAAUAUUCCAUAUUUUU